AGAUUGACUUGUUGAUGCUGGCGAAUCUUCUUUAGAUUUUCUGCUAUCUCAACUAAUGAUUCCUCUAUCUCGCACAUAGCAUUGGAGGAUUUGGCGUUACGAAUGAUAUUCUCUAAUUCGACAAUUUCCCGGCACUCUUUGUGACAUUCCACGAUACAUGUGCUGCAGCAGGGACAUUCAUGCUUCUGGCAAUAGAAUUGAUAUUUUUUAUCGUGACUGGUACAAUACUGAGUAAUUUUCAGUACAUCCGCUGGCAGUUUCUGGUAUUCGGCAAUAGGUAUCACACUGUGGCUUCUCGAUGACUUAGACAAACUAUGAUGCUCCUUGCAAUCUGAACAUAGUCCCUCGUCACAUUCUGUACACCAGACUAUGCAUGGUUUUGUGAUGUGACGGAGGUCACAAACACCACAGCUUUGAGAUGAUGCAGCCAUUAAACACACUACAAAAUUAGAAUCAAUGAUAAAUGAUUAGCCAUAACAAUAGUUUUGCAGUCGGUGGUACCAUCUUUAAAAGUAAAUAUUCUAAAAUUGAAUUCAAUUUGACUUGGGUUUAAAGUACCUGUAUUUUUAAAAAUCAUGCAGAGGGUGAUUCAUGACAUGUCACAGAAUUAAUUUGUUUUGCCCUAUAUGAUAAAACAUUGGUAUAUGAGUAAAUUUUGUCAUUAUUUUUCCUGUAUAAUGUGCAUUGCCAUGGUAACCGUCAAUACAAC
rnacentral:lncRNA from 1 species